rnacentral:rRNA from 1 species
GUGGGGAAUAUUGGGCAAUGGGCGCAAGCCUGACCCAGCAACGCCGCGUGAAGGAAGAAGGCUUUCGGGUUGUAAACUUCUUUUACCAGGGACGAAACAAAUGACGGUACCUGGUGAAUAAGCCACGGCUAACUACGUGCCAGCAGCCGCGGUAAUACGUAGGUGGCGAGCGUUAUCCGGAUUUAUUGGGUGUAAAGGGCGUGUAGGCGGGACAGCAAGUCAGAUGUGAAAACCAGAGGCUCAACCUCUGGCCUGCAUUUGAAACUGUUGUUCUUGAGUGUCGGAGAGGUAAUCGGAAUUCCGUGUGUAGCGGUGAAAUGCGUAGAUAUACGGAGGAACACCAGUGGCGAAGGCGGAUUACUGGACGAUAACUGACGCUGAGGCGCGAAAGCUAGGGGAGCGAACGGGAUUAGAAACCCUUGUAGUCC